rnacentral:lncRNA from 1 species
AGGGUCCCUGCUGCACAGGAGGGAGCAAAAGCAAGUGACAGAUUCCCUUGCUGGCUCCCUGAGGCGGGGUGAGCUGAUUCCUUCCAUGGGUGAGGGGAGGGGUGGAUCCAGAGAUCUGGUCAGAGGGGUGGCUUAGGUGGUCUGCCCACCCCCUUUGUUGGUGCUGUGUGCAGGGAGCAUGCACAGUACCCUGCUUUUCCUCCAGGCUUUCCAGAAGUGGCAGUUGGGUUCUUUUCAGCCUCUCCGAGUCUUGCCCACAACUUUCCCCAACUACACAUGCACAGUUAUUUUUCAUUCCUUAUAAUUUCUUUGUAUUUUGUUGAUGGGGGAGACAUUUGUCUAGGUGCAAGCACUGAAGCAGAGGGUCCCAGGUCCAAGUCUGUCUCAGUGUAAGUGCCUUUUGGGAAAUGAAUGAGGAGAUAUUUACAAAUCUGGAGAUGUCAUCAUAACUGAAAUAGUGCAAAACAUUUCUAACCUGAAACAUUAUCCGUAGCACACUGGCUUCUUACUAAAAACAGCUAAUAUUUGCUCUGAAUAAGAUUUCUUUUUUUUUAUUAUUGAAGUAUAGUUGAUUUACAAUCUCACGUUAGUUUUAGCUGUACAGUACAUUGAUUCGGUUUUAUAUGAUGUAUAUAGUUUGUGUAUACUUUUUCAGAUUCUCUCCCCUGUUAUUAGAAAAUAUUGAGUGUAGUUCCCUUUGCCAUACAGUGGAUCCUUCUUGGAGAUCUACUUUAUAUAUAGUAGUGCGUAUAUAUUAAUCCCGAACUCCUGUUUUAUCCCCCCCCUUUCCUAUUUGGUAGCCAUAACUUUGUUUUCUGUAUCUGUGAGUUUCUGUUUUGGAAAUAAGUUCAUUUGUGUUAUAUUUUAGAUUUCACAUAUAAGCGGUCUCAUAUGGUAUUUGUCUUUGUCUAACUUACUUCACUUAAUAUGAUAAUAUCUGGGUCCAUCCAUGUUGCUGCAAAUGGCUCUAUUCUUUCUUGCAGCUGAAUAAUAUUCCAUUGUGUAUACACACCACAUCUUCUUUAUCCAUUCAUCUGUCGUUGGGUAUUUAGGUUGCUUCCAUGUCUUAGCUGUUGUAAAUAGUUUUUCUAUUUACAUUGGGGUGCAUGUGUCUUUUCGAAUUAGAAUUUUCUUUGGAUAGACGUUCGGGAGUGGGAUUGCUGAGUCAUACGGUAGUUCUAUAUGUAGUUUUUAAAGGAAACUCCAUACUGUUUUCCACGGUGGCUGCACCAGCCUACAUUUGCACCAACAGUGUAAGAGGGUUCUUUUUUCUCCACCCCCUCUCCAGUGUUUAGUAUUUGUAGAUGUUGAUGAUGGCUCUUCUGACCGGUUGGCACAGGCGUGCAUUGGAGGGUGAUCAUGACAUGGUCCGUCUCUUAUUUAGAUCUCAGGGGGCAGAACUUCCUGAUUGUGUGGCAUGACACCCAUUAGGUGACUUUUUUUAAAAAAAAUUUUAAAAAUUAUAGUUGGUUUACAAUGUUCUAUCAAUUUCCACUGUACAGCAAAGUGACCCAGCUAUACAUAUAUAUAUACCUUAUUUUUCUCGCCUUGUCAGAGCUUCCAUGCUGAGGAGCCCGGUGACACCCCUGACAUCUUCCUUUCAGGAAGGCAGUCCUUGGGGGAUGUAGUUUCAGAAACGUGCACAUGGUCAAACAGGUCAUUUCUGGGCAAAUUUAGAAACAAACCUUGCUUAGAAAGCUGACAUGGCAAGAAUACAGUAUUUACCAUUUACUUCAUUCAACUAUGCCCGGUAAUAGCUCAGCUCUGUCUCUUAAGUAUGUUUACAAGGUUCUCUAUAGGGGUAUAUUUUUUUCCAAGAUUUUUACUUUCUGAAAACUUGGUAAUCCAAGCUUUUGGGGGUGAGGCCAACCAUGGAAUUGUUUACAGAAGACAAUAUUCCAAACAUCUCACUUAUCUAACUAAUCUGGGCCACCAGGCCACCUCAGCUUUCUAAAAUGCAGUAAAGAACGCAAAAGUAAAUAAGUAUUUUUCCCAGCCUUGCAGGGGAGUGCAAAUAAUCCCCCUCUGCUCUCCUCAGAGCAUAUGCUUCUUUUGUACACAGUUGUAAUCAAAUGACUGCUCUGAUUUCCCAACUCACAGAAAAUAAAGGAACGUGGAGCUUACCCAGGAGGCCACAGAUUCUGCGGUAGUACCCUUUCCGUGUUAUGGUUUUGGGUGGCACAGUGAAAAAAGAAAAGUCUCAAGAUGCAAGUUGUCAAUAAUGACCAUGUAAGCGCUUAGGCAGCCUUAUUUAGCAGCCUGUUCGUUGCUGUAAAAGCCUCCAUGGCGCCUGCGCCAUCCCCUUGGCCUCCUGUGCUCCACCUCUAAGAAGAGUUUCCUCCUGGCCCUUCUAGUGACUUAGGGGGGGUAAUGUUGAUGUGCUCCAGGAACACGACAACUCCUCUCUUUUUUCUUUUUAGGGUCGCACCCACAGCACGUGAAAGUUCCCGGGCUGGAAUCAGGGGUUGAAUAGGCCUACCCCACAGCAACACCAGAUCAGAGCCGUGUCUGCAACCUGCACCAAAGCUCACGGCAAUGCCAGAGCCUUAACCCACUGAGCGAGGCCAGGGAUCGAACCUGCGUCCUCGUGGAUCCUAGUCGGGUUCUUAAUUCUGAGCCACAAUGGGAACUCCAACAACUUCUCUCUUAUUCAUAGUGAGUUUUAUCCAUUCUAAGCCAAAUGUCAGGACAUGAUCAGGUUGACAUGAUUAUAAAAGUAUAAAUACUUGUGGCAAAAACGGAUUUUCCACAUGGGCAAAAAUUUGCCUGGCUGCCUGAGUAUGGUUUCUGGUUCUGAGUACACUGCCACCCAGGCUGAAAAUGUCACAUCAGCAGCUGGUAAGCACACUAAGAAGAGCAGCAGUGCGGCUUGGAGCCUGACUGGAGGGACAGACCCAGACUAAGACCUGCCUUCUAGAGCCCUCGCAUGACAGGGCAAAUAGCAUCCACGAUGACACAGUAUUUUUAGUGAUAUUAUUUCAAUAACACAAUUUUCAUUACAGUGUUAAAUCAUGUUUAAUACUCUGUUUAAGGAGAUAGGCCAAUACUACAUAUUUCCGUACAAAUGAUUAGAAUUCAUUUUGAAGAGUCUUGCUUUAUUUUUGGCAGUGCCCUUGGCAUGCAGAAGUUCCUGGGCCAGGACUCGAACCCACUCCACAACAAUGAUAAUGCUGGAUCCUCAACCCGAGAGCUAUCAGGGAACUCUAAGAGGCUUGCUUUUGAAGUGAUCAUUUGCACUGUCCAGGAAAUUUACUUGGACUAAGCAUCUUGCUUUCCAGCAUGAGGUAACAUGGUAUAGCCUUGUUGUUAUUUGCAUGAGAAAAUAAGACUUGCUAAAAUUGUCUGUAAAUAAGUAUCUAUAUUUAUUUUUAGUUGAAAAAAGUUUUGAGGAUUUUUUAUUAUUUUGCUUCCAUUAUGUAUAUAUAUUACAUAAAAAUAAAUAUAUAUGUGUGU